rnacentral:tRNA from 1 species
GAACGUAUGGCUUAUCGGUCAGAGCGCUUGGUCGGCUUACAAAAGGCGCGGGUUCUAAUCCCGGUAUGUUCA